GCGGGUGCUAAGCUGCCGUCCGCGCGCGGGUCGGUGUCCCGGUGGGUCGCCGCGGGCCUCGUCCCGUUCCUCUUUGGUCGGUGUGCCCGUGCGGUUGCUGCUGCGUCCCGGAUCCCAACCGGCGAGAGGAUCGAAAGGGCAGAGGCGGCUGCUUAGGGGGACUCGCAGACUUAAUGGGAGAGCCGGGCUCUGGUCGCCCGCCCUCGGGGCAGGGCGGGGUCUCCUGCCGGGCGGGCCCGGUCGAAGAAAAGAUGGCGAAGGCUCCCUGCAUCAGCUGCUUCUGCGUGAGGCGCUCCCACAGGCCUCCUUGCCGUGCCCCUUGCCUUCGGUUCUCUCCGGGCUGGCUGUGCUUACUCCGCUCGUCUCAGCACCCGCUACCUUCCCUUCCUGUGGCCCGUGUUUCUUAACUACGAACAGCGUACCUCAGAGCAGGACGAUCCAUCCCAUGGCCCAAGCGGACCUUCAGACACCAAAACAUUGCUGCAUCCGAGCCUGACUCCCGAAUAACUAUAGGAGUAGUUCCUCCUCCUCCGCCUUUGUCCCCGGUGUGCUGCCAUGCAGUUGCCCUGAACCAUUCUUGGGUGUCUCUGAAGACAGCACUGAUCAGUAAAGAUCUCUUUUUGCUUGAGUGCAAA